rnacentral:misc_RNA from 1 species
AGAGGAAGGGGAAACGCCCUCUUUCCCCAUCUUGUACCGGAUAAGGAAAUCCUAUAACAGGGCGUUUCCCCUUCCUCUUUCUCUGUCUCAGCGAACCAGUAAGCCAUGUCUCUCUCUUCUUUCUCUACAAUGCCCACCGCCAAGCUCCGCCUACAAACCCUACCCACUUCCACCACAGUCACACCCUUAACUCUGCACUCUCCAUUUCUCCCCUCUUUCAGACUCCCAAAACAUAAACCCCUUUCAAUUCUCCGCAUUUCAACAUCUCCAGCUAUCUCUGCCUCUCUUGAAGCUGGAGUCGGAAUAAUGGCAACCAAACUUGGAAUGAUGAGUUUCUUUGAAGAUUCAGGAACAGUGGUGCCUGUUACUGUUGUAGGGUUUCGCGAAGGAAAUAUUAUUACUCAAAUUAAAACUGAAGCUACUGAUGGAUAUAGUGCUGUACAAGUUGGGUAUCGACGAGUUCGUGAUAGAAAACUAACUAAACCUGAAAUGGGUCAUCUUGAAAAAUCUGGGAUUAUUCCUCUCCGUCAUUUGCAGGAGUUUCGUCUUCAGUCUGUUGAUGGAUUUGAAGUAACGCAGAAACUUGAUUUUAAUGAAUUAUUUAAAGAAGGUGAUUUGGUUGAUGUCGCUGGUACAACCAUUGGAAAAGGAUUUCAAGGUGGUAUCAAGAGGCAUAAUUUCAAGAGGGGUCAAAUGACUCACGGAUCAAAGAGUCAUAGACAACUAGGAUCAAUUGGUGCUGGGACAACCCCAGGGCGUGUAUACAAGGGCAAGAAGAUGCCUGGACGAAUGGGAGGCACCAGGACAAAGAUUAGAAAGCUCAAGAUCGUCAAGAUUGAUGAUGAACUUAAGAUUCUAAUGAUCAAAGGAGCUCUUCCUGGUAAGCCUGGAAAUCUUUUGCGAAUAGCUCCGGCCAAGAUAGUUGGCAAAAACAUCCCCAAGAACUAAUUUUUGUUCCCUCUUCUUUUAUCAACUCUAUGAAGUGAUGAAAUUUUUUCUUUCAAAUUAUGAUAUUGUGU